rnacentral:lncRNA from 1 species
GAAGGGUGUUUUACCUGCUCCUUGAGGAAUUUGAGUGAAGUGAGGGUGAGAGCACCGUUAAAUGAGAUCAAGUAUCGUGAGAGUGAUUUGUGAGAGCAGAGGUUACUUUCUUGGUAUACACAGUGAGUGAAGAAAAUAUUUUAUUUUUUAGGGUUUCAUAAAUAAAAUAAUAAAUUAAAAAAAUAAAAUUAGGUAGGUGAGUUGGUGGGCCAACCCGGCUCACCACGGGUUCAACCCG